AAAUGCAGAAAGAUCCAAUGGAGCCUCCAAGGUUCAAGAUUAAUAAGAAAAUUCCCCGGGGACCACCUUCUCCUCCUGCGCCUGUCAUGCAUUCUCCUAGCCGAAAGAUGACUGUAAAGGAACAACAAGAGUGGAAGAUUCCUCCUUGUAUUUCUAACUGGAAAAAUGCAAAGGGUUAUACAAUUCCAUUAGACAAACGUCUGGCUGCUGAUGGAAGAGGACUACAGACAGUACACAUAAAUGAAAAUUUCGCCAAAUUGGCAGAAGCCCUCUACAUUGCCGAUCGGAAGGCUCGUGAAGCUGUGGAAAUGCGUGCCCAAGUAGAGAGAAAAAUGGCUCAGAAAGAAAAGGAAAAACAUGAAGAGAAACUUAGAGAAAUGGCCCAGAAAGCCAGGGAGAGAAGAGCUGGGAUCAAAACUCAUGUGGAAAAAGGUAUGACAUUCUCAUUACUGAAUUGAAUUUUGCUUGGUGAACAAAAUAUAUCUUAUUUUAGAAAAUCUUUUUCCUACUGCAUAUAAAGUAGGUACAUAUAAACAAAAUUUAGAUACAUCAGAUAUAGUGUAG
rnacentral:sRNA from 1 species